rnacentral:tRNA from 1 species
UAUAAUUUAGUGUAUGGCGCACGAAGGUUUUUGAAACCUAAAGUCUAAGUUCAAAUCUUAUAAUUAUAA